CUGGGCCUGGGCAGGAGGAGCUGGGCCGGGUGCCAGAUACUGGGAUCAGCCACUGCAGCUCCCUGAGCACUCUCUACACAGAGACGCGGACCCCAGACAUGAGGAGGCUCCUCCUGGUCACCAGCCUGGUGGCUGUGCUGCUGUGGGAGGCAGGUGCGGCCCCAGCACCCAAGGUCCCUAUCAAGAUGCAAGUCAAACACCGGCCCUCAGAGCAGGACCCAGAGAAGUAAGUCCCCCCAACCCCACCUCCCCACCACCCAUUCCCUGAAGCUACAGCCCAUUCUGCUGGGCCCUUCCUGAACCUGGAGAGCACGGGGCAGAUGCAGAGAGGAGCCCUGUCCAGCAGCUUUCAGAUGGAGGGGGCACUCCAGCCUCAUGGGGAUCUGUCAACAGCGCCCCAUGCAGGGAGAAGAGAGCACAGCCGGAGGGCUUGGGGCUCCACGGCGUCUCCCUACUCAGCUUCCCCACAGCCUCCAGGGCAGCUUGUGCUCCACGGCUGGUGGCUGUAGCUGUGGCGGCUCAGUCUUGGAUCCUGAGGUUUCCCCACAUCCUUGCCCUUGGGACGCUGCUCAACCAAGGCUCUGACCACUGCCCCCCACGCAGCCGCCCAGGGACAUGGUGUGGAAGCCUGGCCGGGAGCACUGGGGGCCACUCAUCUCUGUGGCUCUUGAGAGAGAGGCUUGUCCUGGGGCUGCUGGUGGUGGGGCUGGAGUGGCUGCCCUGGGAUGGUGGGCACCCUCCUGCGGGGGGUUCUG
rnacentral:lncRNA from 1 species